rnacentral:rRNA from 1 species
GAUGAACGCUGGCGGCGUGCCUAAUACAUGCAAGUCGAGCGAACAGACGAGGAGCUUGCUCCUCUGACGUUAGCGGCGGACGGGUGAGUAACACGUGGAUAACCUACCUAUAAGACUGGGAUAACUUCGGGAAACCGGAGCUAAUACCGGAUAAUAUAUGGAACCGCAUGGUUCAAUAGUGAAAGACGGUUUUGCUGUCACUUAUAGAUGGAUCCGCGCCGCAUUAGCUAGUUGGUAAGGUAACGGCUUACCAAGGCAACGAUGCGUAGCCGACCUGAGAGGGUGAUCGGCCACACUGGAACUGAGACACGGUCCAGACUCCUACGGGAGGCAGAAGUAGGGAAUCUUCCGCAAUGGGCGAAAGCCUGAAGGAGCAACGCCGCGUGAGUGAUGCAGGUCUUCGGAUCGUAAAACUCUGUUAUUAGGGAAGACCAAAUGUGUAAGUAACUAUGCACGUCUUGACGGUACCUAAUCAGAAAGCCACGGCUAACUACGUG